rnacentral:lncRNA from 1 species
CCUGCCCAUACCUCCUGCCCUUGUUAGGGCUGUUCUGCAGAUGAGUUUUUCUUGCUUUUGAACUUUUCCUCAAGGGAACUGUAAGGCAUGUGGCCUUUGUCAUUUUUUUUUUUUUUUUACUCCCUCCCUGUUAUUUCUCUACAGUGCUUCCCAGUCUGGAACGUUAUGGGAGCUUGCUCUUUUUCCUUGCUGUGUAGUACUCCAUUGUGUGAUUAGGCCACAGUUGGUCCCUCCAUUCUGCUGUGGGUGGGCAUUCCAGUUGUUUCUGGUUUUCUGGUGGCCGUGAGCCUCAUCAGGAGGUCUGCAUUGCUUGUACUGUAUGCGGGCUCCCCCCCUGUGGACGUGUAUGUCAUGCACACACACACUUAUGCACACACGCCUGCACCUGGAGUCCUCACCAGCACCUUCUUGAUCCUUUCUCCUCCUCCUCAAUUUUGACUGCUCAGGAGGCCAGAGAGCAAACACCCACCAUGCCCGACUGGAAGGCUUGGGCCUGCUUCUUUCAGGAAGUGAAUUCAUCAUUUCUAACCCAGUGGCUUCUUAUUUUGCAGCUCCUCUGAAGUCUGUGCGGUCCCGGGAGACUUCACUUCCCUUCCCGGUUCCCGGCAGCACGUUGCCUUUAUUCGGAGUUAACUACUAGACCUAAUUAAACAGCAUCAUCUCCUCAGAGUGGCUGAUUUUCUUCCCUUCUGAAUACAAAUUAAACUUCCAUGCCGUUAACAUUCAGUCUCGUCAGGGGGCAACUGUUGAUUCAGCGCCUCUGUGUGCCAGGCACGGCGCUGGGCUCUGCGGAAGCCUCGGUGCGCAGGACACACGCGUCGGGGAGACGGAGAACGGGAACCCCCAGCUCUGUGUGCACCUGUGCCUGCCGGUGGGGUGCGGUGCCACAGAAGUGACAGGGAGACGUGCCACGAUUGCGGGAUUCCAACUGAGGCCGAGGCUGGGGGGCUCGUGGGGACUUACACGAGGCUGGGGCCUCUCCGUCAUCCUCGGAAUGACACAGCUGGUCAUGGGAUCGUCAGGCCUCGGCAGACGUUCCGCCGCAGAGGAGAAUAUUCUUUCAACCACGGGGACAAGCCAGUCCCUCCUGAAAGGGCUGGGCCAGCAGGACCAGGGUUUGAGCACAAACCCCUCAACGCCAAGAUCCAGAGUGGACACUCUUCCCCUCCCUCCCCAUAAAGCAUAUCAAAGUCUUAUCUUUUCCAGAUUCUGGAAAGUCUUCCAACAUCACCCCCUUUUGUUUCUCCUGGAUUAGCAGGUGGUCACUUUGGGUUUUGGGAGUCCUCUCCCUGUCCCCAACAGGAAAACUGUCAGGAAUAUUCACUCCAGGGCUGCUUCUACAGGCGGACCUGAGGUCUGAGGGAGCGUGGUGCCAACCCCCACUGAGCUAGCUGUGUGGCUUUGGCUGGGUGACUCAACCUGAGUGUCAGUGUCCCUGCCUUUGUCAUGGGGAUCACGAUGGCGAUGCUCACCUGUGAGGCUGGGAUGAUGACCCCAUGCCAUUGUGUAAACGAAAGGGCCCAGCAAAUGGGAGGUCCACAUCCAGUUGUAGCUCUGUUAAUACAAGGAACGUCAACGUCGGGAAAUGUGUUCAUGACAGCAUCGACUUUUCUGGAGUUUUAUGAGAAUUAAGUGAGCAUUUACUGGCACGUUACAGCACCUCACACGUGAGUAGUCACAGAAGGUCACUGAAGUGUUUGAUGUUUGUUAUUAACAAAUAAUAAUACCUCUUGUCCUGUGUCCUGAGGGCCUGCCGUGAAGAGAGAAGUUGGAUGGAGAAAGAAAACAACUUUUAUUGAGCACGCAGGUGUGCCAGGAAGUUUUCCUUUUUAUUUCUCGAGUUCCGUUUUUGUGUUUUCCUUCACGACCACCCUGCCACGAUGGUUCUGUGGUUUUGGUAGAAUCAAGACUCCUGGCGGCAAGCAGUGGAAAACCUAUCUCACUAGCUUAAGCAGAAAGAGAAUUUACUCCUGCAGAAUGGCUCACGGAACUGGAUUAAGCUUCAGGUGCGGCUGGAUCAAGAGCCUUGGGGGAUGUGGCUCCCACGCAGCCUCUCCCACUAACCCUGCCCCCGGGCCCCGCUUUUCUGUGUGUUGGCCUCAGCCACUACCCAGCUGCCUCCUUCUGGUGGCGAGAUGGCGGGCAAAAGCUUCAGGAUUUCCUCCAGAGAGUGUCCCUGUCCUCCCAGCCCUGGCAGGAGUCCCAGAGAAGUCUCUCACUGGCCUCUCUGGGUGAUAGAAGCACCCCUGAGCCCAUUGCGGGGGCCACAGGGAGACCCAGUGCUCUGAUUGGUCAGGUCAGGAUCGGGAACCACCCUUAGGCUCAUAUGUGGGGUCAGCUCUACUCCCCAGAGGAAAAUGGGGUGCUAUUCCCACAGAAGAGGGGAUGGACGCUGGAAGGACAAAACUGCUCUGGGGCCUGGGGGUGGCCUGGGUGACGAGCACCCACAGGCCUGGCCACCGGGAAGCGGAAGAGGACAACCGGCCCGGGCGCUGGGGCCGAGGACCACCGGCUCACAGUGAACUCUCGGCUUAAAACGUGAUUUAUAUUUAGCACGAGGAAAGCUGUCAAGCUCUUAAAUAUGCAUGGGGUUGGAAGAGCCAGGAGGGAGAGAAAGUGCAGAGCCUGCAUGUGCCAGCGAGGAAUUAAUUAGAAAUAAACCCGAUACGAGAAGCU